GCCGGUGUAGCUCAGCUUGGUAGAGCGUCUGCUUCGUAAGCAGGGGGUCGUUGGUUCGAGUCCAACCGCCGGCACCA
rnacentral:tRNA from 1 species